rnacentral:lncRNA from 1 species
CCAGAGAGGCAUAUGGCAUGAAACAGAGACAAAGGAGAAGGGUGGGACCUGGAUGAGGCAGGCAGAGACUGGAGGGUGGUGCGGCCCCAAGGACACAGAAGGUGAAGGAAAGAGCAAAAGGUGGAGGAAGCUAUAAACCAUGGAGGCAAGAAUCUCAAAGUUCCCCUUUCAGUCCUAAGAAGAAGCUGGAGGAACUGUCAACAACAGAAGAUUUUAAUGACAAAUACUCAAAGAGAAACGUGUAUGCCAACGUUCAUUACAGCAUUAUUCGCAAUAGCCAAAAGGUGGAAACAGCCCAAGUGCCCACUGAUGGAUGGAUAAAAAAAUAUGAUGUAUAAACAUACAACAGAAUGUUAUUCAGCCUUAAAAAGGAAGGAAAUUCUGACACACGCUACAACAUGGAGGAUCCUGGAGGACAUUAUGCUAAGUGAAAUGAGCCAGUCACAAAAAAACAAAUACGAUGAGAAGCAUGAAGCUCAGAGACUAAGUGGGAGGCCCAACAGACCAAGGGACAGCCCAGGCAGUGUCACUCCAGAAACAGAGUGCUUAGUCUCUGCUUAUAUGACCCUCUUGUUUUUUUGUUUUUUUUAGGAAGAUUAGCCCUGAGCUAACAUCUGCUGCCAAUCUUCCUCUUUUUUGCUGAGGAAGACUGGCCCUGAGUUAACAUCCGUGCCCAUCUGCCUCUACUUUAUAUGUGGGACACCUACCACAGCAUGGCUUGCCAAGCGGUGCCACAUCCGCACCUGGGAUCUGAACCUGUGAACCCUGGGCCGCCCAAGUGGAACGUGCACACUUAACUGCUGCGCCACAGGGCUGGCCCCCCUCUUAUUCUUCAUUCUUGCCCAUCUUCACUCCCCAGUGGCCAGAACCACACCCAACAGCCCGGAAGCCCCCUGAAGGAUAGUUGGCUGCCAUGAAGAUCUUGGAUCCAUCUUUCCCUCAGGAUUCCCCUUGGCAGUUGAGAUAAAAAGUGCAUCUGAUUAAUUUAGGAAGCCUGUGGCAUUAAGCUAAAGUACGUGCUGAAAUCUUUACGGUCCAAACAAAAUGAUUUUAAGGAUUUGCUUCAAUGUGCAGUAGAGGGAGUGGAAGAGAGGAGAGAACGAUACAAACGUAUGUUCAAGCAAUCCAAAAAAAGGCAAGAUACAAGAGAGAAAAAAGUGUAUGAAUUAUAUCUCAAUAAAGGUUGCCACAAAUGAGAGCAUUUCCUCCUUUUUUAUGGCUACAUAAUAUUCCAUUGUGUGUAUAUUUAUCCAUUCACCCUUUAAUGGACACCCAGGUUGCUUCCAUGUCUUGGCUGUUAUGAAUAAUGCUGCGAUGAACACAGGGGUGCAGAUAUUUCUUUGAGAU